AUGAACGCUAGCUACAGGCUUAACACAUGCAAGUCGAGGGGCAGCAUUUUAGUUUGCUUGCAAACUGAAGAUGGCGACCGGCGCACGGGUGAGUAACACGUAUCCAACCUGCCGAUAACUCCGGAAUAGCCUUUCGAAAGAAAGAUUAAUACCGGAUAGCAUACGAAUAUCGCAUGAUAUUUUUAUUAAAGAAUUUCGGUUAUCGAUGGGGAUGCGUUCCAUUAGUUUGUUGGCGGGGUAACGGCCCACCAAGACUACGAUGGAUAGGGGUUCUGAGAGGAAGGUCCCCCACAUUGGAACUGAGACACGGUCCAAACUCCUACGGGAGGCAGCAGUGAGGAAUAUUGGUCAAUGGGCGAGAGCCUGAACCAGCCAAGUAGCGUGAAGGAUGAAGGCUCUAUGGGUCGUAAACUUCUUUUAUAUGGGAAUAAAGUUUUCCACGUGUGGAAUUUUGUAUGUACCAUAUGAAUAAGGAUCGGCUAACUCCGUGCCAGCAGCCGCGGUAAUACGGAGGAUCCGAGCGUUAUCCGGAUUUAUUGGGUUUAAAGGGAGCGUAGGUGGAUUGUUAAGUCAGUUGUGAAAGUUUGCGGCUCAACCGUAAAAUUGCAGUUGAAACUGGCAGUCUUGAGUACAGUAGAGGUGGGCGGAAUUCGUGGUGUAGCGGUGAAAUGCUUAGAUAUCACGAAGAACUCCGAUUGCGGAGGCAGCUCACUAGACUGUCACUGACACUGAUGCUCGAAAGUGUGGGUAUCAAACAGGAUUAGAUACCCUGGUAGUCCACACAGUAAACGAUGAAUACUCGCUGUUUGCGAUAUACAGUAAGCGGCCAAGCGAAAGCAUUAAGUAUUCCACCUGGGGAGUACGCCGGCAACGGUGAAACUCAAAGGAAUUGACGGGGGCCCGCACAAGCGGAGGAACAUGUGGUUUAAUUCGAUGAUACGCGAGGAACCUUACCCGGGCUUAAAUUGCAACAGAAUAUAUUGGAAACAGUAUAGCCGUAAGGCUGUUGUGAAGGUGCUGCAUGGUUGUCGUCAGCUCGUGCCGUGAGGUGUCGGCUUAAGUGCCAUAACGAGCGCAACCCUUAUCUUUAGUUACUAACAGGUUAUGCUGAGGACUCUAGAGAGACUGCCGUCGUAAGAUGUGAGGAAGGUGGGGAUGACGUCAAAUCAGCACGGCCCUUACGUCCGGGGCUACACACGUGUUACAAUGGGGGGUACAGAAGGCGGCUACCUGGUGACAGGAUGCUAAUCCCAAAAACCUCUCUCAGUUCGGAUCGAAGUCUGCAACCCGACUUCGUGAAGCUGGAUUCGCUAGUAAUCGCGCAUCAGCCAUGGCGCGGUGAAUACGUUCCCGGGCCUUGUACACACCGCCCGUCAAGCCAUGAAAGCCGGGGGUACCUGAAGUACGUAACCGCAAGGAGCGUCCUAGGGUAAAACUGGUAAUUGGGGCU
rnacentral:rRNA from 1 species